rnacentral:lncRNA from 1 species
AUGCAUGCUGUGCUAUAAUUUAUGAAACUGAGCCCAGGAAGCAAGCAAUCAGUUAGCUCCUCCUAACAAGUCCAACUGGCUACAAAAAGCUGGAAGGGCUGCACAGAACAAUGAAGAGGAGCUAUCCCACAUAUUAAUCUGCUUAUCUAGGAUUGCUUUCUGUGUAGAGGGAGGGAAACCCGAAACAAGGCAGGCGCGCAGGGCGGGGCAGUGGGGGGAAAAUCACAGCUUCGCUGUUCAAACAGCAGAAUAAUUUCAAUCAA